CACACAGAAAAAGAAAAGAAAUUGUAUUCGGGAGCAGCGAGAAGAUUUAUGUUCUCUUUUUCAUGAGCAACUUUCUCGGUGAUUGAUGAUGUUCGGCAACAGCCUUUUCAGAACAUUGGCGGGCGAGAGAGUGUGGAUUCGACGUAGUGAAUCCUAUUUUGAGGUGAAUAUGGAGUUACAUGAAGUUGAGCAAGAACCAUGGAUUGGACCUUUGGAUGCUAUCGAACUAUUACGACGUGGAAUAGUCGGAAGGGCUUAAAAUGGAGGCAUGAGGCUUAAAGAUGUUACUCCAUCAGUAUAAACCUGAACCAGACUUUCUACUCGAAUGUAUCUCGAAAAUUGCCCAAACUCCCUCCACUAGGAUUGUUUUGGUGGUUCAAGAUUGAUGUAUUUUUGGAAAAUUUUGAAUUGAAAAUAUGUAUGUUGAUAGUGAUAUUUUGAAUAUAAUUGUGAAUUUUGGAUGCGACUGUAAUAUGAAUGGCAAUUGCAAUCGCCAAGUGAUUUUGUUUAUGUUAAUUUAUGGUUUCGAAUAAUA